AUGAGUGUGCAUCCAGCUUGUCCCCAAAACCUGCCUUGCUCUGAAGCAUCCAACUGUAAAGACUCUUUGCCAAUGUCUGUGAUUUGUGGGCCCAAAACAAACUAUCCAUCCUUGCAUAUAUCUUCUGCUGAGAUGCCUCACACAGAGUCUGGACAGCUCUAAUUCUUUCACGAGUCCCAAAGGCAGACAACUCACUUCUGCAGAGAAGAGCACCGCAAAAAAGGAAGACAAAGUCCUGGUCAAGAAACAGAUGACCAGAACUGUGUUCUCUUCCACCCAGCUGUGUGUACUCAGUGAUAGAUUUCAGAGACAGAAAUACCUCAGCCUCCAGCAGAUGCAAGAACUUUACAGCAUCCUGAAUCUUAGCUACAAACAGGUUAAGACUUGGUUCCAGAACCAGAGAAUAAAAUAUAAGAGGUGGCAGAAAAACAGCUGCCCAAAGAAUAGCAAUGGUGUGACUCCAAAGGCCUGAGCACCUACCUACCCCAGCCUCUAUUCUUCCUGCCUCCAAGGAUGCUUGGCGAACAUGUCUGGGAACCUUUCAAUGCAGAGCAACCAGACCUGUAGCAGUUCGGCCUGGGGCAACCAGACCUGGAACAUCCAGUCCUAGAACAGCCAUUCCUGAACACUCAGACCUGGUGCACCCAAUCCUGGAACAAUCAGGCCUGGAACAAUCCCUUCUAUAGCUGUGGAGAGGAAUCUCUGCAAGUCCUGCAUGCGGUUCCAGCAAAUUCUUCUCUCAGUGACUUGGAGGCUGCCUUGGAAACUGCUGAAGAAAGCUACAAUGGAAUACAGCAGACCACUAGGUAUUUUAGUACUCCACAAACCAUAGAUUUAUUCCUAAACUAUUCCAAGAACAUGCAGCCUGAAGAUAUGUAA
rnacentral:lncRNA from 1 species